rnacentral:lncRNA from 1 species
GAAUCCGAAGAAGUCGAAAUAAUCAAGGAAUCGGAAAAAGAUUUGUUAUUAUUCACAAUCCGAGCGGUUCAAAUCUUAGUCACCAUACAACCUAUUCAGCAAUAGCCCGAUUUCUUUCUGGACAGCUUUGCCUGUUGUGACUCGGGUAUGAGAAAAUUGUGCAUGACCUUGGCGGUGUCCCAUGUUGAGAAGCAGAUGCACUGCCCUCUUCAUGAAGGUCACUAAGGGGUAGCCCGUCAAAUAAGAUAGUAAUCUGACCAGACUUUCUAGCAUCCACCAUGGGUCUAACAUCUGUGUCAUCUGUAAACCAAAGAAGCCCCGUGAUUGAGUAAGGAACCACAGGGUAAAAACCAAUUCGUCAAAGAGAUGUGUAGUUUAAUUGCUCGAAGGCCAGCUGACGUAAGUAGUAGUAUCCAAGUAUUUCCGGAUAUAGAUGACCUACAUUCUGGAUUCCCCCAAAACAUUCUCGGCCGCCAUUCCUCUCUAACAUCUGGCCCCCAUACCGUAGUGCGUAAUCUACCUUAUUAUCCAUAGAAUCAUGGCUGGGUAAUUAGAUCCACAUGCAACAGAAUUAGCUCAUAUGU